rnacentral:lncRNA from 1 species
CGCAAUGUUGGGAAAUCCGCCGCUCUCAUCGGCUUUCAAUCUCAGUUGUGCUGAACAUCCAUUGUUCAUACACAGUUGAAAGCAAUUUUGUAGGUUGAAACUAUAUAUUUGAACGAGUAUUUUGGUCUAAUUUCCUCUAUUUCUCUCCUCCCUCUAACAAGCCCUAAAUUCACAGUUCAAUUUGUGCAGCAAUUAAAUUUCUUAAUAUUUUUUUUGUCUUGAAUUGGGGUGCUGUCAAAUAUUGUUGGGGUUUUAAUGUACUAUCCACAUUGAGGUUGCAAUUGGGUAAAUAGUUGUUUAUUAAGUUUAGGAGUUGAGAGCUAAAGGAAGAUUUUUUAUGCAUAUGUUGUGUUUGAUAAAUGGACUUGAAUUGGUGGGUAUAGGAGGAAUGAUGUCUCCGGGCACUGAUGUGUUGCCUCCUUGUGCCCCAUUAGAUGAUGGGUGCAGUAGGGAGGGUAUGUUUUCUGUAGAAGUUGAGGAUUGUGAUAAAUUGGAGAAUCCAACCCUGGGGAAUAUUGGGAAGUCUCUGAAUUGGUGAGUAAUUAUCAUUGAUAGGUACCUUUUGCCUUCUUGUGAUUUGGGAUCUUGUCAAUAAUGGGUCUUGCUUGGAAGAGCCCUGUGGAAAUGUAUGACUAUUUUCCUUCACUAAUUGAUUGAUUGUUUGAAAGAGUUAGUAUGGUGUACUACUCGAGUAUACUUGAUGGGUUAAUUGUUUAUGGGUAUUUAAUUUUGAAGGAAAAUUUUACUUCUUUUUUGCGAAAAAUGUUAGGUAGGUGUUUUAUCAGAUUUCUUGAUUGGGCAUAACAGAUGAUAUUUGGUGAGCUGCGAGCUAAUUGAUGUGCGUUCAAGAGUUU